rnacentral:rRNA from 1 species
AUGAGCUUCUACAGCCUCCCCGAAACGCUCCACCAUGAGAUUGGCUCGGUCCAAGCUUGGUUCUUCUGGGCUGGCGAGGGCGGUAAGCAGAAAAACCACAUGGUCCGCUGGACGGACAUCUGCAAGCCCCGGGACCAGGGUGGUCUCGGCAUCAUGUCCUCCAAACGCAUGAACCCGACCCUCCUCACUCGCUGGCUGUGGCGCAUUGCAAACGGCGAUGAUGGCUUGUGGCUGCAGAUCAUCCGCCGCAAGUACCUGCGCGACCAGCCCCUCGCUUUCUGCGUUAGGACGGGUGGGUCCCAGUUUUGGCAGUCUGUCAUUCAGCUCCUCCCAGUCCUUCGCAUUGGGACCUCCAUCGCAGUUGGCACUGGUUCGGCCACGCUUUUUUGGUUCGACCGCUGGGCCGGUGAUCUCCCUUUCGUGGCCCGGUUCCUGACCUCUUUUCCAUAG